rnacentral:lncRNA from 1 species
CAAAGACCCCCUAAUGAGUAAUUGCCCUUCAUAGUCAAUUUUUAACAAUUUUCAUAAAAUUUGUAAAUUUUCACUAACAUUUUCCACUGAAACUACUGAGCCAAGUUCAUUAUAGAUAGAGAUAAUUGUAAGCAGCAAGAAUGUUUAGUAAAGUAAGAUCUACAAACACAUCACCAUCACCAAAACACAAUUUUGUCAUGAAUCCAUCUGUGUCCUUUGUUGAAUAUUCACAUAGACCAAGGUGAGCGACAC